rfam:Formosa sp. Hel1_31_208 genome assembly, chromosome: I
UCUGCGUUAAGGAUGGAAGUGACAUCCUUUUGGUUUGCCAAAGGAUAUAACGUACAGCCUGACUCUAC